rnacentral:rRNA from 1 species
ACGGAAGGCAGCAGUGAGGAAUAUUGGUCAAUGGGCGGAAGCCUGAACCAGCCAAGUCGCGUGAGGGAAGACGGUCCUAUGGAUUGUAAACCUCUUUAGCCGGGGAGCAAUAAGCGCUAUGUAUAGCGUGAUGAGAGUACCCGGAGAAUAAGGAUCGGCUAACUCCGUGCCAGCAGCCGCGGUAAUACGGAGGAUCCGAGCGUUAUCCGGAUUUAUUGGGUUUAAAGGGUGCGCAGGCGGUCUCUUAAGUCAGUGGUCAAAUCGUGGUGCUCAACGCCAUCUCGCCAUUGAUACUGGGAGACUUGAUUCCGGUCGAGGCAGGCGGAAUUCGCGGUGUAGCGGUGAAAUGCAUAGAUAUCGCGAAGAACUCCGAUUGCGUAGGCAGCUUACCAGGCCGGCAAUGACGCUCAUGCACGAAAGUGCGGGGAUCGAACAGGAUUAGAUACCCUGGUA